rnacentral:lncRNA from 1 species
AGGGAGGAUACUUAAAUGUACAAAUCUACUAUUUUGGAGUUAUAUAUAUGGAGAGAGAGAGAGUAGAGCUACUAUAAUAUCGAAAGUAUAAAGGAUCUGGCGCUUCCGACUUUUUGGUCCUUAAAUCAACCUUUAUGAUCAUUUUUAAUAUUUGGAUUAAUACUAUUAUUUUGUGGGGACUACUCAAUUCUAAUGAUACUUCUCAACUUUAAAGGAGAUCGCAAUCAUUCCAAUCGUACAAUUCUUGAUCUAAGAGUCAAAAAGUCGAAAGUAUCAAAUUUCUAUACUUCCGAUAGUAUAGUAGCUCUACAUAAUAUAUAAAUAUAUAAAUAUAUAUAUAGAGAGAGAGAGAGAGAGAGAGAGAGAGUUGGGCUGAAAUACUAUUGAUUUGGAUAUUUUUAUGUCGUUAAACAAAAAAGGGCUCAUAUCGAUUAUUAAAAUUAUAAAUAUUGAAACCCUUUGAUCAUUAGGCAAAUGAUUUUGAAAAGAUUUGAAAUUUAAUUUCUAAACACUUCAAGUGGUAUAGAUCAUGUUCAACGAUACCGAUUGUCGAUUUAAAGGCUAUAUCAUCGAAAACAAAUAUAUAGCAAUAGAGCCUAUUUACUAUCGAUAGUAUUCUAACCCAACUCUCUCUCUCUCUCUCUAUAUAUAUAUAUAUAAUAGAAAAAUAAAGAUGUAAAU